CCUACGGGAGGCAGCAGUGGGGAAUAUUGGACAAUGGGCGCAAGCCUGAUCCAGCCAUGCCGCGUGAGUGAUGAAGGUCUUAGGAUUGUAAAGCUCUUUCACCGGUGAAGCGGUAACCGGAGAAGAAGCCCCGGCUAACUUCGUGCCAGCAGCCGCGGUAAUACGAAGGGGGCUAGCGUUGUUCGGAUUUACUGGGCGUAAAGCGCACGUAGGCGGACUUUUAAGUCAGGGGUGAAAUCCCGGGGCUCAACCCCGGAACUGCCUUUGAUACUGGAAGUCUUGAGUAUGGUAGAGGUGAGUGGAAUUCCGAGUGUAGAGGUGAAAUUCGUAGAUAUUCGGAGGAACACCAGUGGCGAAGGCGGCUCACUGGACCAUACUGACGCUGAGGUGCGAAAGCGUGGGGAGCAAACAGGAUUAGAUACCCUUGUAGUC
rnacentral:rRNA from 1 species